GAUCAUGGCUCAGGAUGAACGCUAGCUACAGGCUUAACACAUGCAAGUCGAGGGGCAGCACAGUGUAGCAAUACAUGGGUGGCGACCGGCGCACGGGUGCGUAACGCGUAUCCAACCUUCCCGUUACUCUUGGAUAGCCUUCCGAAAGGGAGAUUAAUACAAGAUGGUGUUGAAAUUCCGCAUGUAUUUCAACUAAAGGAUUUAUCGGUAACGGAUGGGGAUGCGUGACAUUAGAUAGUAGGCGGGGUAACGGCCCACCAAGGCAACGAUCAGUAGGGGUUCUGAGAGGAAGGUCCCCCACAUUGGAACUGAGACACGGUCCAAACUCCUACGGGAGGCAGCAGUGAGGAAUAUUGGUCAAUGGUCUGACGACUGAACCAGCCAUGCCGCGUGAAGGUGACGGCCCUAUGGGUCUUAAACUUCUUUUGUAAGGGAGCAAUAAGCGCCACGUGUGGCGUGAUGAGAGUACCUUACGAAUAAGCAUCGGCUAACUCCGUG
rnacentral:rRNA from 1 species